rnacentral:tRNA from 1 species
CGGCGUGUAGCUCAGCCUGGUAGAGCGCCAGCUUUGGGAGCUGGAUGUCGCGAGUUCGAAUCCCGCCACGCCGA